UUCGCAAUGCCCGAAAGGGUGACGAAGCGACGCCGCGUGGGUGAGGAAGGCCUUCGGGUUGUAAAGCCCUGUCAGGAGUUAAGAAGUAUAAGUGUGUUAAUACCGCAUUUAUUUGACGAAGGCUCCAAAGGAAGCCACGGCUAACUCUGUGCCAGCAGCCGCGGUAAUACAGAGGUGGCAAGCGUUGUUCGGAAUUAUUGGGCGUAAAGAGCACGUAGGUGGGUUUGUAAGUCAGAUGUGAAAGCCUUCUGUUCAACGGGAGAAUUGCAUCUGAAACUGCAAGUCUUGAGUAUAGGAGGGGAGAAUGGAACUUCUGGUGGAGCGGUGAAAUGCGUAGAUAUCAGAAGGAACGCCGGCGGCGAAAGCGAUUCUCUGGCCUAUUACUGACACUCAGUGUGCGAAAGCUAGGGGAGCAAACGGGAUUAGAUACCCCGGUAGUCCUAGCUGUAAACGAUGGGCACUAAGUAGAGGGGUUUU
rnacentral:rRNA from 1 species